UACGUAGGGUGCGAGCGUUGUCCGGAAUUAUUGGGCGUAAAGAGCUCGUAGGCGGUCUGUCGCGUCGAUCGUGAAAACUUGGGGCUUAACCCUGAGCUUGCGGUCGAUACGGGCAUGACUGGAGUUCGGCAGGGGAGACUGGAAUCCUGGUGUAGCGGUGAAAUGCGCAGAUAUCAGAGGAACACCGGUGGCGAAGGCGGCAUCCUGGACCGACAUGACGUCUGAGGAGCGAAAGCUAGGGGAGCAAACGGG
rnacentral:rRNA from 1 species